AUGUUUUCUUUGGCGUCAUGAACAGGAUACAGAAGACUGGGACAGUGGCCAGGGCCCAGUGCUUUGCGUUUUUCUACACUGCAGAAACCUGUUGAUGAUGCCAAGUGAGGACUUGCCAUGCUUCUGAAAACUUGUGUAACAAGUCACCAAGUUGCAGAUGCUACCAUGAUGCCAACCUGACUUCCCUGGACAGAGGACCUCACCAAUGUACGCUGGACCCUCACCUCUCCAGAACCCUGCCCCACUAGGGAAAGAUAGAAACAAGCUGGGAGUAUGGAUCAACCCACCAAUGCCCAUGCUCAGUGGAGAAGCAAUUACAGAAGCCAGACCUUCCACCUUCUGCAUCCCACAGUGAC